UGGCGAACUGCUCAGUAACACGUGGACAACCUACCCUCAGAUCUGGGAUAAACCUGGGAAACUGGGUAUAAUACCGGAUAAUCCUUGGAUGCUGGAAUGCACCGAGGAUCAAAGUUCCGACGUCUGAGGAUGGGUCUGCGGCCUAUCAGGGUAGUAGUGGGUGUAAAGUACCUACUAGCCUACGACGGGUACGGGUUGUGAGAGCAAGAGCCCGGAGAUGGAUUCUGAGACACGAAUCCAGGCCCUACGGGGUGCAGCAGGCGCGAAAACUUUACAAUGCCGGCAACGGCGAUAAGGGGACCUUGAGUGCCAGGAUACAAUCUUGGCUGUCGUCGUGUCUAAAAAACACGAUAUAGCAAGGGCCGGGCAAGACCGGUGCCAGCCGCCGCGGUAACACCGGCGGCUCGAGUGGUAACCGCUAUUAUUGGGUCUAAAGGGUCUGUAGCCGGCUUGGUAAGUCUCUUGGGAAAUCCGGCAGCU
rnacentral:rRNA from 1 species